rnacentral:rRNA from 1 species
GCCUGAGAAACGGCUACCACAUCCAAGGAAGGCAGCAGGCACGCAAAUUACCCAAUCCCAGCCCGGGGAGGUAGUGACGAAAAAUAACAAUGCGGGACUCUUCCGAGUCUGCGUAAUUGGAAUGAGCACACUUUAAAUCCUUUAGCGACUAACAAUUGGAGGGCAAGUCUGGUGCCAGCAGCCGCGGUAAUUCCAGCUCCAAUAGCGUAUAUUAAAGUUGUUGCGGUUAAAAAGCUCGUAGUUCGAAGUCAGUUCCGGACUGGCUGGGGUAACACCGCCCGGUGCUGCCCCGUCAGGCUCCGAACAGCUUUUAUGACUAAAAGCCAAGCCGGUUUCGCCGGGGUGCUCUUCACCGAGUGUCCCGCGCGGCCGGCCAGUUUACCUUGAAUAAAUGAGAGUGCUCAAAGCAGGCUACUCUUAAAAAUAAAGCCCGAAUGUUACCUGCAUGGAAUGAUGGAAGAUGAUCUCGGUUCCAUUUUAUUGGUUGUGGGAAUCCGAGUUAAUGAUAAACAGGGACUGUCGGGGGCAUCCGUACUACGACGCGAGAGGUGAAAUUCAGUGACCGUCGUAGGACGAACAACAGCGAAAGCAUUUGCCAAGAAUGUCUUCGUUGAUCAAGAACGAAAGUUAGAGGAUCGAAGGCGAUCAGAUACCGCCCUAGUUCUAACCCUAAACGAUGCUGACUAGCAAUUCGCCGUCGUUAUUCCCAUGACGUGGCGAGACGCCCCCGGGAAACCUCAAGUCUUUGAGUUCCGGGGGUAGUAUGGUUGCAAAACUGAAACUUAAAGGAAUUGACGGAAGGGCACCACCAGGAGUGGAGCCUGCGGCUUAAUUUGACUCAACACGGGAAACCUCACCAGGCCCGGACACCAGAAGGAUUGACAGAUUAAGAGCUCUUUCUCGAUUUGGUGGGUGGUGGUGCAUGGCCGUUCUUAGUUGGUGGAGUGAUUUGUCUGGUUAAUUCCGGUAACGAACGAGACUCUGGCCUACUAAAUAGUCGACGUGGGUUUUGGUGCAUGGGCCCCGUUCGAUAAUGUCUUCUUAGAGGGAUGAGCAGCGAGUAUAGCUGCAGGAGAUUGAGCAAUAACAGGUCUGUGAUGCCCUUAGAUGUCCUGGGCCGCACGCGCGCUACACUGAAUGGGUUAGCGGGUCUUCCUUCUCCGAGAGGAGCGGGAAAUCGCGUGAAAACCAUUCGUGAUAGGGAUUGGGGCUUGCAAUUGUUUCCCAUGAACGAGGAAUUCCCAGUAAGCGCAAGUCAUCAGCUUGCGUUGAUUAAGUCCCUGCCCUUUGUACACACCGCCCGUCGCUACUACCGAUUGAAUGAUUUAGUGAGGCCUUCGGACUGGCGGUCUUGGACUGGGUUUCACUCGCCGUUACUCCAGCGAUGGGGGGCGGUGAACCCGCCACGACGAGCCGGAAAGAUGUCCAAACUUGAUCAUUUAGAGGAAGUAAAAGUCGUAACAAGGUUUCC